rnacentral:rRNA from 1 species
GAGUUUGAUUCUGGCUCAGGAUGAACGCUGGCGGCGUGCCUAAUACAUGCAAGUUGAACGGACUUGGAGGGUGCUUGCACCUAACAAGUUAGUAGCGAACGGGUGAGUAAUACAUAAGCAACCUACCUAUUNGACUGGGAUAACUAUGGGAAACGAUAGCUAAUACCGGAUAGGUAACUUGAAGGCAUCUUUAAGUUAUUAAAGGUUAGAGACACUAAUAGAUGGGCUUAUGGCGUAUUAGUUAGUUGGUGAGGUAACGGCUCACCAAGACGAUGAUACGUAGCCGGCCUGAGAGGGUGAACGGCCACAUUGGGANUGAGACACGGCCCAGACUCCUACGGGAGGCAGCAGUAGGGAAUUUUCGGCAAUGGGCGCAAGCCUGACCGAGCAACGCCGCGUGAGUGAAGAAGGCCUUCGGGUUGUAAAGCUCUGUUAUAAAUUAAGAAUGGCUAUAAGGGACU